CAAGGAAUUUUCCGCAAUGGGCGAAAGCCUGACGGAGCAACGCCGCGUGCGGGAUGACGCUUUUCGGAGUGUAAACCGCUGUUCGUGGGGACGAAGCACUGACGGUACCCACGGAGGAAGGCCCGGCUAACUACGUGCCAGCAGCCGCGGUAAUACGUAGGGGUCGAGCGUUGUCCGGAGUUACUGGGCGUAAAGCGUGCGCAGGCGGCUCAUCGCGCUCGGCGUGAAAGCCCCCGGCUUAACCGGGGAGGGUCGUCGAGGACGGGUGAGCUUGAGGGUAUCAGGGGUUGGUGGAAUUCCCGGUGUAGUGGUGAAAUGCGUAGAGAUCGGGAGGAACACCCGUGGCGAAGGCGGCCAACUGGGAUACACCUGACGCUGAGGCACGAAGGCGUGGGGAGCGAACG
rnacentral:rRNA from 1 species